UGUUUAAUUAAAUGAACACAGCUGCUUACUGGGGUGAUUAAACUCUACCUGUCACGUGACGUGCCAUAGACCUGGGAUCCGUUUUAUAUUCAUUUCAGGUUCAAAGAUCUGAAAAGACGUAAAGGAAGCAGUCACCCCAGUCGUGUUUGUGGAGAGGUAUUCCUUCAGAAAUGGAGAAGACAGAAAGCUGCAGAGGCAGGAUUGUUUGCAGAUAAUGCUGUUCUUCUUUUUCAGAAGUUUUUGGUGAGCCAACCCUCACACACCUUCCUAAAAACUAAAAGAGCUAUUACUGAGUCUCAGCGAAUCUUGCCAUGAUCAGCUCUUCCCAGAUGAGAAGGAAGACCAAGGAAAUGAUUUGCCCAGGAUGAGGAAUGAAAACGGCCAUCUUGUGCUCAAACAAACAGAAGUCCACUGAUGAUCUCAUCAGCCAAAUGAGGGGUUUUGACCAAGUGAUGCCCUUGAAAGGAGUGAAAGAAGAGGAUG